rnacentral:sRNA from 1 species
CUGACAGCCCUGGAGUCUAAAGUCUUCUAUUUAUCCAAAGAAAGGAACAGCAUGGGUACCGAAAGCACAGGCUUCCUUACAUUGCCUCUCCAAACAUGCUUUAUUUUUGACCUCGAGCAGCGACCACCGAAAGGAAGACUGGCUGCUGUGCUCACUGAGAACUCAGCCUUC